rnacentral:lncRNA from 1 species
UGCAUACUCAAAGAAAAAUUCAAAGUACAGGAAAGUGUCAAAAAAAAAAAAAUCACCUGAAACCCUUUGUCUCCUCCAGUCACCUAGUGAGCAGUGGGUCCCUGUUUCUCCAGCUUGCUCUGGGGGACAAUGGUUGCUGCCCUCCUCUCAUCUGGACCCCAGCAUCCACAUCUACAGCCUGGGAUGCUCUGUGGCCAUCGGAUGCACAAGGACACAUUUUCCAAGAGCAAGGGCCCAUGGGACCUCAAGAGAGAAUUUUUCCUGAUGAUGCAAGAAACUACCACUGUGAAAGUGUGGGUGUGGAAGUACACGCCCUUGGUCCUGGCUUUCAGGAGGAUGAAGAGUUUGAGGCCAGCCUGUGUUACAAUACUCAGUGAGACCCCUGCUAAAUAAUCAACAAUCAAAAUUCGAAUUGACUGUAGUUUUUAGGUUAGAG